CCAAUCAUAUCGUGCUUGUGGAAGAGUAACCAACUUUAAGUUGUCAUAUUUUUCUUUUAAGCCAUUCCACAAAAUAAGUGGAUCUUUGACUGUGAGAUAUUCAAUUUUCAACCCUUCAUCAAGGUGAUGGUGCAAGAAAAUCAAGGCCUUAGCACAGUCUUAGGUGGAUGCUUUAUUUCUGUCUUUAAUGGUGUCUCCAAGACCCAUUGCAUCUAAAUGGAUUUUAGCAUCCAACGCCCAUGUCAUAUAGUUCUUGCUGAAAUUUCAAGGGCAACGAACUUUCUUUUCA
rnacentral:lncRNA from 1 species